CACGUUGAAACAGCAGUUCCUGUACGAUUUCAGAAGUUAAGCAAUGUCAAGCCUAGUCAGUACCUCGAUGGGUGACCGCUAAGGAAUACGAGGUUCUGUAA